AUGUGGGUUAGUCUCGCACGAGCGCACCCUAUCUUUAUUGCCAGCAUUAAGUUGGGCACUCUAGAGAGACUGCCCGGGUUAACCGGGAGGAAGGUGGGGAUGACGUCAAGUCCUCAUGGCCCUUAUGCCUAGGGCUACACACGUAAUACAAUGGUUGGUACAGAGGGACGCGAGCAUGCGAAUGUCAGCAAAUCUCAAAAAGCCAAUCUCAGUCCGGAUUGGAGUCUGCAACUCGACUCCAUGAAGUUGGAAUCGCUAGUAAUCGUGGAUCAGCACGCCACGGUGAAUACGUUCCCGGGCCUUGUACACACCGCCCGUCACACCAUGGGAGUUGUUUUCAUUUUAAGACGUGACUUUAACCUUCGGGAGAGAGCGUCUACAGUGGGAGCGAUGACUGGGGUGAAGUCGUAACAAGGUAGCCGUAGGGGAACCUGCGGCUGGAUCACCUCCUUUUU
rnacentral:rRNA from 1 species